CGUAACUUGACAGUGAUCUCCGGUGCUUCUCUGUUGGUUCACGGGCAGCGCCCGGUGUUUAUGCUUGACUGUUCACGUCACUCGCAUCUCUGGCAUUUCCUUUGUUUUUGUGCACGUCAAAUAAAAAACACGUUAUUGUUAGACCCUGUAUGGAAAAUCCUAGAUAGAUAGUGUUUUACGGUGGUGUUAUUGAGACUUGCAUGUAAGCUGCAUAAAUGAAAUGUUUAGAUAUGCCACCAACAAAUUAUGUAUUGUCAACUAUGUUUGUCAGUGCAUUAUACCAGCGGUUCCUAACCUGGGUGUCAGGACCUCACAGGCUGUUGCAUGGGAAUCACAACGUGUUGUGGGAAGAGUCCUUAAGUAAGAAAUAUCAAAGAACAGCACAGAAAAAUCUUGUUUGAAGAAAUAAAAUGAAAUAAUUGACAGUAAUUGUACUAUGGCAUAGAAUUUGCAUCAACCUAUCUCCACUAAAAAAAAGUAUUUCUGAAAAGGUGGCCAACCAGUAACAUAUUUUUGGACUCAUUUAAAGGUUAAGAACCACACAUUAUAUAUUUUUAGAAUGAGAAAAAUUGUGCAAAGAAUGUGUUUGUAAUAGCAUUCAAAACUCAGUCUUUCAUUUUCUUCUCUUCUCUGAUGAAUAGGGAAACAGUUACCGGUCCUUUUUUAGUCAGUGUUCUUUCAAAUCAAAUAUUUACUUUUAGUUUUACAUCGCAUACAAAAAUGGAAAACAUGCCAUUUUAAAGCAGUGUUAGCUGUAGUCCAUGAUCAUGUUUUGGUAAGCUAAUAGUAAUUAACUUGUUAUAUUAAUUAGUAAGUAAUAGUAAUUCUGUCUUUAAAGUUUUAGAUGUUGGUCUAAACUUAACCAAUCAGAACCUGCCCAACCGAUUCUAUGCUGAGCUUGACCGCCAUCUUCCACGACUAAUGACUUUAUUUAGGCAGAAGGCAUCAAGAACUGGAAAGACAGCAGAUGCUCUGGCUGAAAUUUUAAAAAUCCACGAUGAACAGGAAAACCAGGACAUACACACCAAACGUACGACUGUUCUCCACGGCCUCCCUGUCUAUCUGUGCGAGGAUGUAUCUGGAUUCUUCAGAACCUGCACAGACGAGUCUGAUGAGCCAGAGCUUGAUGGGGUUGCAGUGGGCCUCCUUACUGUCACCAGUGACAAUAACACAAGUGCAGUUCACUACCACCCUGUGAAAAUCUCUGUGAUUAUUGAAAGUGAUGUCAUGGUUAGUCUCACCAGACUUGGCGAUGCCUUCCUGGUAGUCUUUGGAUUCAUGUAUGCACUACACCUCAGCUACCCCAAAGCACUUACCAAGACUUUUGAGUUCAUUCAAAAGAUCUUACUUGGCCUAGAAAGUGGCAAACUGUCACCGAAGUUGCAGACCCUCAAGAAUGUUUUGAUGACCUAGAAACGGAAGGCUGCAGCGGUAUACCAUUAUAAAAGGUUCAACAUGUUCAAGUUAAAAGGUCUAUGAUCACGUCUUGCAGCUUUGCAAUGCAGCGCCAUCAUGUGAUCUGUUCAUGUAUGUUAUUGUGUUGUGUAUUAUGGAGGAAAAAAAGGCAGAGGUCAUGGUUCUCGGGUUGUUAUCUUUGUGCAGAUAAAAAAUAAAAAAAUUCUUUUAUGCCUCAUG